AAUAAAUUUAUUUUUCUGUUUUUUAAUACAAUGCUUUGAAUCUUCGUUUUAUUUAAAUUUAUUUUGCGAGUAUUGUUUUUAUGGUUACUAGAUGAUAAAACAUUAAUAUUAUUUUAUACGUGACUAAUUUUUUAAAAGCUUUGUAUAAUUUUUUUAAAUAAGACAAAUGGUUAAACUUUAGACACAGAAAUCGAAAAGUGAGAUUAUU
rnacentral:pre_miRNA from 1 species